rnacentral:rRNA from 1 species
CUACGGGGUGCUGCAGUGGGGAAUAUUGGGCAAUGGGCGCAAGCCUGACCCAGCGACGCCGCGUGAGGGAUGAAGGCCUUCGGGUUGUAAACCUCUUUCAGUAGGGAAGAAGCGAAAGUGACGGUACCUAAAGAAGAAGCACCGGCUAACUAUGUGCCAGCAGCCGCGGUAAUACAUAGGGUGCAAGCGUUGUCCGGAAUUAUUGGGCGUAAAGAGCUCGUAGGUCGUUUGCCGCGUCGAUUGUGAAAAUCUGAGGCUCAACCUCAGACCUGCAGUCGAUACGGGCAAACUAGAGUGUGGUAGGGGAGACUGGAAUUCCUGGUGUAGCGGUGGAAUGCGCAGAUAUCAGGAGGAACACCAAUGGCGAAGGCAGGUCUCUGGGCCAUAACUGACACUGAGGAGCGAAAGCGCGGGGAGCGAACAGGAUUAGAUACCCUAGUAGUC